AAUUGGGUCCCAUGCAGCAGAAACUCAUGAACCCCGUCAGAUCCGGAAGGAAGCAGCGGUAAGUGAUAACUUCUGAGUGCCGUGGAUUAACCUAGUUUGA
rnacentral:SRP_RNA from 1 species